AAUAAAACAUAAAAAAUAUUAUAUACAUCAUUUAAAAUCAUUCACAUUACAACUCAAGACUUAACAAUUGCUUAAUCAAAUUUAGAGCAAAUUAAUUGUCACAAAUUUGGCCUCAUGGAGACCCACAUGCCACAUCAUCCAAUAGCUUUUUUGCCUAUUCAAACAUCAGCGAAGGAAGAAAAACACCAGACCACCUGCCAAACUUAAAACACAGAGAUGACAAAUGAGCAUAAGAUGGAAGAAUAUCCACUAUACCAAUAAGCCUAUAAAAAGAACAGAAAAGCUACAUGCACCUAAUUUAUACACAUGAUCAUGCAGCCAAACAGAUCCCACAUCAAGUUGAUAACAAACAUAAUUAACUUGCCAAUAAUAUCCGAAGUAACUUGUACAUCAGCAAGUACAAAAACUUAGGCAUUGUAGUAAAUGUUACCAAACGGAAGGGAAAUAAUAUUGUAGUAAUUGUUACCAAACGGAAGGGAAAUAAUAUUGGGUAAAAUUCUGGACCGAACAAAUUAUUCAUCUCAAAUAUCGAUCCACAAAACAUUCUAUUGGACCAAAAAAUAAAUUCAAUGCCAAAGUCUCUGAUUUGAAUUAUCCAGGCAUGAUACUACAAUACAAUACAAUCGCCAUGUUAAUAUGCUUCCAUACCUCAAACUCUCUUGCCAUUUUAAAUACGGUAAAAUGGAGAGACAGAAUUAUAUAAAAUAUCUCCAAAACAUUUUACCACCUAUAUUAUCAUAUCAUAUUAGAAACAAAAACAACAACAAUCACAAGACAGAAAAGGAUAGCAGCAGCAUUAUCAGUUGUAAUACACAUUGAUACAACCAAAGAUGCAUAUUGAAAUUAUUUCCAAAGCUUCUCAUAUCCACAAUGCUCUUGUUGGGACAAACAAAAAGAAAAUUAAUGCCAGUCAGCCCUUCAUCAACCAUUUUUUUAUCUAGCCCCUGUACACUACCAAUGCCCACCAGUGAACUGACAAUUUAUUUUGUCUAUUGCAGAUGAAAUAUGCCACUUUUUUAAUUCUAAGUCACCCCCCUCUUCCAUGUACAAGUACUAGAGUUCCUUCUUAAACAGGCAACAGAACAUGAGGUUUUCCUCCAGGGGCAUAUUAUCCAGAUUGCAUGGAGUAGAGAAGAUUAACAAGAACACAAGUAAACACUGAGAAAAUUAGGAUUUGUUUAUAAGAAUAAGUAUCCUAGAGAUGAAUUAAAAAAAUAUGUAUGCAUAACAUCUAUGCAAGAUGCCUAAGCAGACAAGUGAGAAGAGAAUUUAUUAAGGAAGCCAUUUUCUCUUACUAUGUUCGUUAUGGAACUAAAAGCUGCUGAACAGUAGCCAGCAAUUAAAAAACAUUGCACAUGUAAAACAUACCAAUACCUUAUGCGAGAGAAAAGCACAAAGACAGAAAAUGAACCGAGACAGUAGAGGUUCAUACCUUAAUGUCUUCACGAGGGAUUCCUCUAGAUGAAUCAAUAGGAUCAUUUUCAGCAUGUACUUGAAAUAUAUUAUGACACAUUCAUGAGAGUGUAUUCAUUUUCACCCUUAGAAAUCCAACUACAAGUGUAAAUAAGAGCAGAAGCAUGUGUACUUAUCAAAUUCUUCGCUUUCUUCUUCUUUUAGUUUUUUACUUUCUAGAAAGAAAUUGUAUGUGCUAGGUAUUAUGUUCCCAUCUUUUCUCAAACUAGUACCACUGUAUGAGGGAAAAAAUCACAUUUCUCACUCUAUUUCGACUCAUUACAAAAUUCAAAUUUCUCUAACACAAUAACACAAUGUAUGUCAGGGUUCUGAAUUAUCUUAGUUCCUUCAUAAUUCAUAUAUAACAAAAUGACAAUUGAAUGUUCCUUUCUAACACAAAGACAUGGGCAUUGUACUAAUAAAACAAGAUUGAGAGGGGGGUGCGUGGUGGAGGGAGGGAGAGAUUGCAAACCAUCCCAAACUUCACAAGAGAAAAGCUUUAAAGAAAAACAAUUCUGUGAAAAAAUCACGAACAAAAACUUGAAUAGAUUAAGAGAUUCAAACCAGAUUAUAAAUGUGAAGAUAAUUUAAAGUAAACAUCUUACAGACUCAUGAACAUGCGAACACCAAAAAGUCNNNN
rnacentral:lncRNA from 1 species